GGAUUAGAUACCCUGGUAGUCCACGCUGUAAACGAUGGUUACUAGCUGUUUGGUUUUCGGACUGAGUGGCUAAGCGAAAGUGAUAAGUAACCCACCUGGGGAGUACGAUCGCAAGAUUGAAACUCAAAGGAAUUGACGGGGGCCCGCACAAGCGGUGGAGCAUGUGGUUUAAUUCGAUGAUACGCGAGGAACCUUACCAGGGCUUAAAUGUAGAGUGACAGGGGCAGAGACGCCUUUUUCUUCGGACACUUUACAAGGUGCUGCAUGGUUGUCGUCAGCUCGUGCCG
rnacentral:rRNA from 1 species